ensembl:lncRNA
GCGAAGGCACCUUCCUGGGAGCAAGGUCUAAUAAUAAUAAUAAUAAUAAUAAUAAUAAUAAUAAUAAUAAUAAUAAUAAUAAUAAUAAAAUCCCUUACAAUAUCCAAGAUGGCUCACUGCUACAGAAUCUUGGGAGGUUUAGUUUGGUAUAGUACCAUUAUUGGCAGAGAAAGCUAAGCUGUAGGAGUUGAAAUCCAAUCAUUUAUCCUCCCUAUAGAAUCAAUUUUAUAUGCAUUUUUAGCUACAGAAAAGCUAAAAUCAGGACAGUAAAAGAACAACACCCAGAAAAUGGGAAUUCCAGACAGGAAACAAUCAGGGCCAGCUAAUACCUCCCAACAAAGGAUUCCCCCAGGUAGGAAGCAGCCAGGCUUUGAAGCUGCAAGGCUAUUCAAUGCUAAUCAAGGUGACCAAUUGCAACAUUCACACUUGCCUCCCACAGACAAGAGUUCUUUCUCCCACCCUGGACCUUCCACAGAUAUAUAAACCCCACUUGCCUAGCUUCGCACAGACGUCAAAACCUCUGAGUAUGUCUGCCACAGAUGUGGGUGAAACAUCAGGAGAGAAUGCUUCUGGCACAUGGCCAUAGAGCCCGGAAUACAUACCACAACAGUGUGAUCCCGGCCAUGAAAGCUUUCGACAACACAACCACAGUAUCCAUUCAAGUUCAUGUAGCGUCGUAUGGAGACCUGUAUUGGGGGGAGGGAGGGUGCGAAUCUGGGCCCCUGGGAGUCGUAGUCCUCCCUCCCUCCCCGGGAGCAGCCGAGGACGGGCCUGGCCCACACCCCCUCGCAUCCCGGGCCUCCGUCCCUCCCUUGCUUUUCCUCUUUGGUCUCCCUAUCUUGAACACAGAACACGCAUGAAAAAAAACACACCAUAAUUUCACAAUAUAUAGUUUAAAUAACAAAAGGAAGAGGAAGGAAGAGGCCCGGGAUGCGAGGGGGUGUGGGCCAGGCCCGUCCUCGGCUGCUCCCAGGGGCCCAGAUUCGCACCCUCCCUCCCCCCAAUACAGGUCUCCAGUCCAUACCACGCUACAUGAACUUGAAUGGAUACUGUGGUUGUGUUGUCGAAAGCUUUCAUGGCCGGGAUCACACUGUUGUGGUAUGUAUUCCGGGCUCUAUGGCCAUGUGCCAGAAGCAUUCUCUCCUGACGUUUCACCCACAUCUGUGGCAGACAUAGAGGUUUUGACGUCUGUGCGAAGCUAGGCAAGUGGGGUUUAUAUAUCUGUGGAAGGUCCAGGGUGGGAGAAAGAACUCUUGUCUGUGGGAGGCAAGUGUGAAUGUUGCAAUUGGUCACCUUGAUUAGCAUUGAAUAGCCUUGCAGCUUCAAAGCCUGGCUGCUUCCUACCUGGGGGAAUCCUUUGUUGGGAGGUAUUAGCUGGCCCUGAUUGUUUCCUGUCUGGAAUUCCCAUUUUCUGGGUGUUUCUGGGAAGGUAAUGGCACUCCAUGUAGUCAUGCCGGCCACAUGACCUUGGAGGUGUCUAUGGACAACACUGGCUCUUGGGCUUAGAAAUGGAGAUGAGCACCAACCCCCAGAGUCAGACAUGACUGAACUUAACGUCAAGGGAUACCUUUACCUUUACCUACACACACACACACACACACACACACACACACACACACACAAGCAGGGACUAUAUAUAUAUAUAUACACAAUAUAUAUCACACACACACCAAUUUAACAAAGUUUCAGCCACAAAAACAAAGUUUCUGAAGUAGAACAAUGACUUUCACAGUAAAGACAACCCAAUUUAACAGGAAAUAAGACUUUCAAACCAGGAACAGAUUACUGCAAUUAUUAAAAAAAGGUUUAUUAUAAAAGCUAUGAAAAUUUGCCAAAAAUCAGAGGAUAAGGGAAACGUUCCACAUUUUGGUGAGCUAUCAGUGUUAAAUGUGUUCUACCACUCUACCAAGUUUGAAGAAGAUCACUCAAAAAAUGAGGGCGGGAGAGCCCCCAAAGUCCCCCCCCCUUCGGGCUGUUUUUGGGCCACCGCGCAUGCGCGUCCGCCAUUAACGAAUUAAUUUAGAAAAUAACGAAUUUUCAUUAAUUUCGAAAAAUUUUGGGGGCCAAAUUCGUUAUUAGCAACAAAAACGAAAAAACUGCCCCCUCUAGUAUUGAAACGAGUUUAGAAUCAAAUUUUUCAUGGAUCGAUCAAGCCUAGUCCGGGAGAUAGCAGGGGCAGGCAUGUAGCCGGGGGGUGGGGGGUGGGUGGGAGGCUUGAGGGGCUUCAGCCCCCCACCCCCGAAAUUCUCAGGGUGGUCCACGAGAAGGCCUUACAUUUAUUAUUUAAACUGUUAUGUUUAUUCAUAUCAUGAUCUGAUCACCAUACUCAAUAUAUCCCAUAUGCAUGGGGGUAUUGGAAUAACAAUACAAAAGGGUAGAUCCUCUCUCACCCAGACUCAGCCCCCUCCCCCGAGCCAAAAUUCCAGACCCCCCUGAAACAAAAUCCUGGCUAUGGGCCUGAGCAGGGGCAUUUGCCAUGGCUCAUUGAAAAUCUGUCAUGGGGCAUGGAGAACCCAUUGUCCCACAUAGUUUGCAUUGUCCUUACCUCAUCCCAUGGGAGAGACAUUGCC